UACGUAGGGGGCAAGCGUUGUCCGGAUUUAUUGGGCGUAAAGGGCGCGUAGGCGGUGCGGUAAGUCUGUAGUGAAAUCUCUGGGCUCAACUCAGAGUCUGCUGCAGAAACUGCCGUGCUUGAGUGUGGGAGAGGUGAGUGGAAUUCCCGGUGUAGCGGUGAAAUGCGUAGAUAUCUGGAGGAACACCUGUGGCGAAAGCGGCGCACUGGACCAUAACUGACGCUGAUGCGCGAAAGCUAGGGGAGCAAACAGG
rnacentral:rRNA from 1 species